UACGUAGGUGGCAAGCGUUGUCCGGAUUUACUGGGCGUAAAGAGCGCGCAGGCGGCUGGGCAAGUCCGAUGUGAAAGCUUCCGGCUUAACUGGAAAAUUGCAUUGGAAACUGCUCGGCUUGAAGGUGGGAGAGGGUAGCGGAAUUCCCGGUGUAGUGGUGAAAUGCGUAGAUAUCGGGAGGAACACCAGUGGCGAAGGCGACUACCUGGCCUGUUUCUUGACGCUGAGGCGCGAAAGCUAGGGGAGCAAACGGG
rnacentral:rRNA from 1 species